UUGUUUGCUUAAAUCUGAUGA
ensembl:piRNA 21ur-1373 ncRNA